CCUACGGGUGGCAGCAGUGAGGAAUAUUGGUCAACGGGCGCGACCCUGAACCAGCCAAGUCGCGUGAGGGAAGACGGUCCUAUGGAUUGUACACCUCUUUUGUCGGAGAGCCAAACACGCCACGCGUGGCGUUCACAGCGUACCCGAAGAAGAAGCAUCGGCAAACUCCGUGCCAGCAGCCGCGGUAAUACGGAGGAUGCGAGCGUUAACCGGAUUUAUUGGGUUAAAAGGGUGCGCAGGCGGAAGAUCAAGUCAGCGGUAAAAUUGAGAGGCUCAACCUCUUCGAGCCGUUGAAACUGGUUUUCUUGAGUGAACGAGAAGUAUGCGGAAUGCGUGGUGUAGCGGUGAAAUGCAUAGAUAUCACGCAGAACUCCGAUUGCGAAGGCAGCAUACCGGCGCUCAACUGACGCUCAUGCACGAAAGUGUGGGUAGCGAACAGGAUUAGAUACCCCUGUAGUC
rnacentral:rRNA from 1 species